AACGCUAGCUACAGGCUUAACACAUGCAAGUCGAGGGGCAGCAUUCCAGUUUGCUUGCAAACUGGAGAUGGCGACCGGCGCACGGGUGAGUAACACGUAUCCAACCUGCCGAUAACUCGGGGAUAGCCUUUCGAAAGAAAGAUUAAUACCCGAUGGCAUAAUAGAACCGCAUGGUUUGAUUAUUAAAGAAUUUCGGUUAUCGAUGGGGAUGCGUUCCAUUAGGCAGUUGGUGGGGUAACGGCCCACCAAACCUUCGAUGGAUAGGGGUUCUGAGAGGAAGGUCCCCCACAUUGGAACUGAGACACGGUCCAAACUCCUACGGGAGGCAGCAGUGAGGAAUAUUGGUCAAUGGACGAGAGUCUGAACCAGCCAAGUAGCGUGAAGGAUGACUGCCCUAUGGGUUGUAAACUUCUUUUAUAUGGGAAUAAAGUGGUCCACGUGUGGAUUUUUGUAUGUACCAUAUGAAUAAGGAUCGGCUAACUCCGUGCCAGCAGCCGCGGUAAUACGAAGGAUCCGAGCGUUAUCCGGAUUUAUUGGGUUUAAAGGGAGCGUAGGUGGACAGUUAAGUCAGUUGUGAAAGUUUGCGGCUCAACCGUAAAAUUGCAGUUGAUACUGGCAGUCUUGAGUACAGUUGAGGUAGGCGGAAUUCGUGGUGUAGCGGUGAAAUGCUUAGAUAUCACGAAGAACUCCGAUUG
rnacentral:rRNA from 1 species